GACGAACGCUGGCGGCGUGCUUAACACAUGCAAGUCGAACGAUGAAGCCGGAGCUUGCUCUGGUGAAUUAGUGGCGAACGGGUGAGUAACACGUGAGUAACCUGCCCUUGACUCUGGGAUAACUGCGGGAAACUGUAGCUAAUACCGGAUACGACCCUCGGAGGCAUCUCCUGGGGGUGGAAAGAAUUUCGGUCAAGGAUGGACUCGCGGCCUAUCAGCUAGUUGGUGAGGGAAAGGCUCACCAAGGCGACGACGGGUAGCCGGCCUGAGAGGGUGACCGGCCACACUGGGACUGAGACACGGCCCAGAGUCCUACGGGAGGCAGCAGUGGGGAAUAUUGCACAAUGGGCGCAAGCCUGAUGCAGCAACGCCGCGUGAGGGAUGACGGCCUUCGGGUUGUAAACCUCUUUUAGCAGGGAAGAAGCGAAAGUGACGGUACCUGCAGAAAAAGCACCGGCUAACUACGUGCCAGCCGCCGCGGUAA
rnacentral:rRNA from 1 species